CCAGAAAACCUACAGAAGAAUUGGCUUCGGGAAUUUUACCAGGUUGUACAUGCACACAAGCCCCACUUCAUGGCUUUACACUGUCAAGAAUUUGGAGGAAAAAACUAUGAAGCUUCCAUGUCUCACGUGGACAAGUUUGUUAAAGAAUUGUUAUCAAGCGAUGCGAUGAAAGACUACAACAGAGCUCGAGUUUAUCUGGAUGAGAACUACAAAUCACAGGAAC